UUGAACGCUGGCGGCAGGCCUAACACAUGCAAGUCGAACGGUAACAGGAAGCAGCUUGCUGCUUCGCUGACGAGUGGCGGACGGGUGAGUAAUGUCUGGGAAACUGCCUGAUGGAGGGGGAUAACUACUGGAAACGGUAGCUAAUACCGCAUAACGUCGCAAGACCAAAGAGGGGGACCUUCGGGCCUCUUGCCAUCGGAUGUGCCCAGAUGGGAUUAGCUAGUAGGUGGGGUAACGGCUCACCUAGGCGACGAUCCCUAGCUGGUCUGAGAGGAUGACCAGCCACACUGGAACUGAGACACGGUCCAGACUCCUACGGGAGGCAGCAGUGGGGAAUAUUGCACAAUGGGCGCAAGCCUGAUGCAGCCAUGCCGCGUGUAUGAAGAAGGCCUUCGGGUUGUAAAGUACUUUCAGCGGGGAGGAAGGGAGUAAAGUUAAUACCUUUGCUCAUUGACGUUACCCGCAGAAGAAGCACCGGCUAACUCCGUGCCAGCAGCCGCGGUAAUACGGAGGGUGCAAGCGUUAAUCGGAAUUACUGGGCGUAAAGCGCACGCAGGCGGUUUGUUAAGUCAGAUGUGAAAUCCCCGGGCUCAACCUGGGAACUGCAUCUGAUACUGGCAAGCUUGAGUCUCGUAGAGGGGGGUAGAAUUCCAGGUGUAGCGGUGAAAUGCGUAGAGAUCUGGAGGAAUACCGGUGGCGAAGGCGGCCCCCUGGACGAAGACUGACGCUCAGGUGCGAAAGCGUGGGGAGCAAACAGGAUUAGAUACCCUGGUAGUCCACGCCGUAAACGAUGUCGACUUGGAGGUUGUGCCCUUGAGGCGUGGCUUCCGGAGCUAACGCGUUAAGUCGACCGCCUGGGGAGUACGGCCGCAAGGUUAAAACUCAAAUGAAUUGACGGGGGCCCGCACAAGCGGUGGAGCAUGUGGUUUAAUUCGAUGCAACGCGAAGAACCUUACCUGGUCUUGACAUCCACGGAAGUUUUCAGAGAUGAGAAUGUGCCUUCGGGAACCGUGAGACAGGUGCUGCAUGGCUGUCGUCAGCUCGUGUUGUGAAAUGUUGGGUUAAGUCCCGCAACGAGCGCAACCCUUAUCCUUUGUUGCCAGCGGUCCGGCCGGGAACUCAAAGGAGACUGCCAGUGAUAAACUGGAGGAAGGUGGGGAUGACGUCAAAUCAUCAUGCCCUUUAUGUCCUGGGCUACACACGUACUACAAUGGCUGUAACAGAGGGAAGCAACAUAGAGAUGUGAAGCAAAUCCCAAAAAGCAGUCUCAGUUCGGAUUGAAGGCUGAAAUUCGCCUUCAUGAAGCCGGAAUUGCUAGUAAUGGCAGGUCAGCAUACUGCCGUGAAUACGUUCCCGGGCCUUGUACACACCGCCCGUCACACCAUGGGAGUGGGUUGCAAAAGAAGUAGGUAGCUUAACCUUCGGGAGGGCGCUUACCACUUUGUGAUUCAUGACUGGGGUG
rnacentral:rRNA from 1 species